rnacentral:rRNA from 1 species
GGGCUUAGGCGAAAUACCGGCAGCCGCUUGUCGCAGCUCUCCGACCGCUCUCCAGUACCUCUCUCCCUUCCACGGCCGCUCGUCGGGAUCCUUCUCCCUCAGAUCGACGGCGCCUCAUGGCUCUCCUCCGGCCGCCUCAAAAAGGCAGUCAGGUCCGCAAGCGGCCACACCAGCCUUAGUCAGCGGCCGCGGCCAGCCCGCCCUCUAACGCCGCCUACCAGACCGACCGUAUGUAGACCCUUGUCCCUCCUAGUGGUGACUACACGUGAGGGAGGCAAGGAUUUAUAUUCAGAGACAUCUCUAAGGUGGUACCUGAUGUAUGCCUACAUAUAUCUACGUAAAAUUCACAUCUAAGUGAGUAAAACAAGGCAUACACCAGGUAUCACCUUAGAGAAGUUUCUGAAUAUAAAUCCUUGGCUCCCUCAUGUUCUGAACGUACCUGUCAGCUCAACUUAAAUUUUACCCCACCUUCCUCAAAGACAAACUCUUCCUCACCACUACCACAUGAUUAGUGGUAGUCCGCUUUGUGUAAAACUCCUCAAGUUUAACUAGUACUAGUAGUUCUCAACGAUGUCAAAUCAGUCCUCCGGUACGCGUGAGGACAAAAAAAUAACAAUGUCAGCUACCUUGUUAUACAUUA